ACAACCAGCCCUUCCACCAGUCUAGUUACUAGUCACUUUUAGCCAUCAUGUGCUUGUUUUUCACCAGGAGCUCAGCUGGUGCACCAGACCACACCUCAUGCAGCAUCAAAGCUCUUGACUGUUGGGUGGUUGAAGGUUGUGCAUGGUUAUGAAAGCUGCUGUGCUUGGAGGAUCCUGUUGACUCUAGCCGCUGGGCUCCAGUCAGGGCCGCCAUCCCUCCUGACCAUUGCUAGUCCCCAGGCAGUGUGGCCGUCUGUUCUUCCUGCUGGCACUGGAGUACUUCAGCUUGAAGACAAAUGUUUGCUAUAUGACUCAUAUCAGUCUGAUAUAAUUGGCAAAACGAAGUGCAAAGAAGAGAGAAAGGUAAUUUCAAAAGUAUCAGUGGUACAUUCAGACUGAAAUCCUAUUGAUAUUUGGCCAGACCUCAGGCCCUAAGUGUCCAGGUUUUCUGAGUAAGUGGCACUUGAACAUCUAGGGUGCUUAAAUGCUCAGUACUAUUUACCUCCUUUGCUCUUGGUUCAGCUAAGAUAUUUUAUAUGUGAAAACCUAAAUCCUAAUCCAAUGCAAACUUAGUAUAGUUAAGAUGGCUUGAA